rnacentral:rRNA from 1 species
AUUGAACGCUGGCGGCAGGCCUAACACACGCAAGUCGAGCGGAUGAAGGGAGCUUGCUCCUGGAUUCAGCGGCGGACGGGUGAGUAAUGCCUAGGAAUCUGCCUGGUAGUGGGGGAUAACGUCCGGAAACGGGCGCUAAUACCGCAUACGUCCUGAGGGAGAAAGUGGGGGAUCUUCGGACCUCACGCUAUCAGAUGAGCCUAGGUCGGAUUAGCUAGUUGGUGGGGUAAAGGCCUACCAAGGCGGCGAUCCGUAACUGGUCUGAGAGGAUGAUCAGUCACACUGGAACUGAGACACGGUCCAGACUCCUACGGGAGGCAGCAGUGGGGAAUAUUGGACAAUGGGCGAAAGCCUGAUCCAGCCAUGCCGCGUGUGUGAAGAAGGUCUUCGGAUUGUAAAGCACUUUAAGUUGGGAGGAAGGGCAGUAAGUUAAUACCUUGCUGUUUUGACGUUACCAACAGAAUAAGCACCGGCUAACUUCGUG